AGUUGGAAACGGCUGUUAAUACCGCAUAAUAUCUACGGAUUAAAGGUAGCAACUUGUUGCUGUCGCGAAUGGAUGAGCCUGCGUUGGAUUAGCUAGUUGGUAGGGUAAGGGCCUACCAAGGCGACGAUCCAUAGCUGAUUUGAGAGGAUGAUCAGCCACAUUGGGACUGAGACACGGCCCAAACUCCUACGGGAGGCAGCAGUGGGGAAUAUUGGACAAUGGAGGAAACUCUGAUCCAGCAAUACCAUGUGUGUGAAGAAGGCCUUAGGGUUGUAAAGCACUUUAGUUAGGGAGGAAGUUUUGUUAGUUAAUAGCUAAUGAAAUUGACGUUACCUAAAGAAUAAGCACCGGCUAACUCCGUGCCAGCAGCUGCGGUAAUGCGGGGGGUGCAAGCGUUAAUCGGAAUUACUGGGCGUAAAGGGUCUGUAGGUGGUAUGAUAAGUCAGAUGUGAAAGCCCAGGGCUCAACCUUGGAACUGCAUUUGAUACUGUCAUGCUAGAGUACGGUAGAGGAAUGGGGAAUUUCUGGUGUAGCGGUGAAAUGCGUAGAGAUCAGAAGGAACAUCAAUGGCGAAGGCAACAUUCUGGACUGCUACUGACACUGAGGGACGAAAGCAUGGGGAUCAAACAGGAUUAGAUACCCUGGUAGUCCAUGCUGUAAACGAUGAGUACUAGCUGUUAGGUUCGGUGUAAAGGGCCUAGUGGCGCAGCUAACGCGAUAAGUACUCCGCCUGGGGACUACGGCCGCAAGGCUAAAACUCAAAGGAAUUGACGGGGACCCGCACAAGCGGUGGAGCAUGUGGUUUAAUUCGAUGCAACGCGAAGAACCUUACCUGGUCUUGACAUCCUAGAAACUUAGCAGAGAUGCUUUGGUGCCUUUUUGGAACCUAGAGACAGGUGCUGCAUGGCUGUCGUCAGCUCGUGUUGUGAAAUGUUGGGUUAAGUCCCGCAACGAGCGCAACCCUUAUUGAUAAUUACCAUCAUUAAGUUGGGUACUCUAUUGAGACUGCCGCUGACAAGGCGGAGGAAGGUGGGGACGACGUCAAGUCAUCAUGGCCCUUACGACCAGGGCUACACACGUGCUACAAUGGGUAUUACAGAGGGCUGCCAAACCGCGAGGUGGAGCGAA
rnacentral:rRNA from 1 species